UUCCCGCGCCAAAACGCUCCCUUCACUGGUUUUUGAAAUCGCAAAUCAACGAGUUAAACACGAGUCAAUUCAAUAACUCAAGAGAAGACUCACUAAUGGACAUAGACAAUCAAGAAGAUCGGUUUCUUGCAUUCAUCGAUCACGCCAGGCGUGGAAGCGAGCAAAGAAGAAGUGGAUUGUCGAAGAAUAGACAGGAAAUUAUGAAUCGGUUGAAAAGGAAACACAGGAGAAAUAAGUUAGCAAAAACUGCGACUCUUGAUUCUGUUUAUGAGAAGAAUUUCUUGUCUUUAAAUAGUGCUUGGAAGCUGUUACUGUCGAUGCUUUUGUUAUACCUGAUAGUGAUAUAAAAUUAAAACGUUGCGUGUUUGGUUAUUAGUUGAUUCGUAUGCUUGCUUUGGGGGAUUUUUGGAGCUCGAACACUAUCGACCUUUAUCUACAUCGUAGCCUUGAAGCAACAUGGAAUGAGAAUGCAGCAAGGGCUUCCUUCAUAAACCUUAGUUUUUUGCCUGCAUUGCUGACCUCAUCUUGUCUUCACAAGUUAUCUUGCCCCUCUGAUCUAUCCAAUGAAGCCAGUUGACUCGUCUUGACCAAGUUGAUCAAUGUCAUGCGAACACAAGAUUUUCACGCUCUCAUUGUGGACAUGUUGUUAACAAGAUGCCUAGUGGGAGGUCGAAUGCAGCCUCUAAUUGUGAUGCUGAAGCUGCGUGCAUAUUCCACCUAAAAAUCACCCUUGCAGACGAGACUGGAAAAAUGUUUAGCUUGGUUUGUCGGUCAAACUGCCAGAGAGUUGCUGCAGAUAUCCCCUGGUGAAUUCUAUGAUCCCUGAGAUAAGGACUAAGCUCAAUGAUUUAUUUUAUACAACACAAGCUUCUAUUUCGUUUUUUUACUUAAUGUUCCAUGAACUUUUGAUGAUAUCAACACAAUGUCAUUUUGUAAGUACACAUAUUAGGUAUGCCCAUUUACAUCCACUCAUGUAUGCAUAGAUUGAGAAUGGUGCUGCUUUGAAUAUCGAUAAAUAUUAAAAAAAAAAACUGUCAAUCAAUUUGCUGCAAUUCAUGGUUGUCUAAUUUGCUGUUCCAAGUUGGUAUUAGACAUCCAUUUUCCAUGGCUCUUUGAGCAUGGAACGGCUCCUGCAGUUUCCUUGGUUUUUCAGCUGCACAAAUCUUCCCUUUUCCCAAGACGCUUAAAAAUUCACGCAGGAGAUGACACAAUCUGAAGCACUGAAAGUAAUUGUAAGCAUAGCGACCACCUCAAAAUCUAGUCACGAAGAAUCUCUUGCAGGCUGACUACAAUUCUUCUUUCCGGGAAAGUUCUAGUUCCUCACUUCAUUCUUGAUUCUUUGUACUUAUUACAGGAUGAACAAUUUAUGUAUCCUUCAUCACCCGAGAAUGAGAGUUUCAUAGAUGCAUUAGUGAAUUGCCAGAGGCAUGGUUAUGGAAUCUGUAGACAGGGUAUAACCCAGGAGGCUGAUGCAAUUCGGUGGGAGAUCACUCGUGCAUUAAGGUGUGAAUAGUUAUGGACAGAAACAAGAAAACAA